GAUGAACGCUGGCGGCGUGCCUAAUACAUGCAAGUCGAACGGAAAGGCCCUGCUUUUGUGGCUUGCUCGUUUGGCGCACGCGUGUGUAAAACGUGUGUAACCUGUCCCUAUCUUUCGGAUAUCUUUUGGAGACUGGGGCUAAUAUCCGAUAGGAGAUCUUGCUGCAUGGUGUGGGAUGGAGAGAUUCGGUGGUUGGGGAUGGACUCGCGGCUUCUCAGCUUGUUGGUGGGGUAGUGGAUUACAAAGGCUGCGACGGGUAGCCGGCCUGAGAGGGUGACCAGCCACAAGAGUACUGAGAUACGGCCCAGACUCCAACGGGAGGCAGCAGUGGAGAGUAUGGCACAAUGGGCGGAAGCCAGAGGCAGCGACGCCGCGUUCGUAAUAACGGCCUACGAGUUGUAAACCGCUAUCUCCGGAAACGAAGCGUUAGUGACGGUAAUGGGUAAGAAAGCACCGGCUAACUACGUG
rnacentral:rRNA from 1 species